rnacentral:rRNA from 1 species
GAUGAACGCUAGCGAUAGGCUUAACACAUGCAAGUCGAGGGGCAGCACAAGGUAGCUUGCUAUCUGGGUGGCGACCGGCGCACGGGUGCGUAACGCGUAUGCAACUUGCCCUAUACAGGAGGAUAACCCGUCGAAAGACGGACUAAUACUCCGUAUGCUCACAACUUGGCAUCAAGUGGUGAGGAAAGAAAUUCGGUAUAGGAUAGGCAUGCGUCCCAUUAGCUUGUUGGUGAGGUAACGGCUCACCAAGGCAACGAUGGGUAGGGGAACUGAGAGGUUUAUCCCCCACACUGGGACUGAGACACGGACCAGACUCCUACGGGAGGCAGCAGUGAGGAAUAUUGCUCAAUGGGCGCGAGCCUGAACCAGCCAAGUCGCGUGAAGGAUGACUGUCUUAUGGAUUGUAAACUUCUUUUAUACGGGAAUAACAAGAGUCACGUGUGACUCCCUGCAUGUACCGUAUGAAUAAGCAUCGGCUAACUCCGUG